UACGUAGGGGGCUAGCGUUGUCCGGAUUUAUUGGGCGUAAAGAGCGUGUAGGCGGCCAGGUAGGUCUGGUGUGAAAACUCGAGGCUCAACCUCGAGACGCCGAUGGAAACCAUCUGGCUAGAGUCCGGAAGAGGAGAGUGGAAUUCCCGGUGUAGCGGUGAAAUGCGUAGAGAUCGGCAGGAACACCCAGGGGGAAACCAGUCGACUGGGCAUCUACUGACGCUGAGGUGCGAGAGCGUGGGGAGCGAACCGG
rnacentral:rRNA from 1 species